AACCAGACUCCUACGGGAGGCAGCAGUGGGGAAUAUUGGGCAAUGGGCGCAAGCCUGACCCAGCAACGCCGCGUGAAGGAAGAAGGCUUUCGGGUUGUAAACUUCCUUUAUCAGGGACGAAGCAAGUGACGGUACCUGAUGAAUAAGCCACGGCUAACUACGUGCCAGCAGCCGCGGUAAUACGUAGGUGGCAAGCGUUAUCCGGAUUUACUGGGUGUAAAGGGCGUGUAGGCGGGACUGCAAGUCAGAUGUGAAACCCAUGGGCUCAACCCAUGGCCUGCAUUUGAAACUGUAGUGCUUGAGUGAUGGAGAGGCAGGCGGAAUUGCGUGGGUAGCGGUGAAAUGCGUAGAUAUACGGAGGAACACCAGUGGCGAAGGCGGCCUGCUGGACAUUAACUGACGCUGAGGCUCGAAAGCGUGGGGAGCAAACAGGACUAGAUAC
rnacentral:rRNA from 1 species